rnacentral:rRNA from 1 species
UGGGGAAUAUUGGACAAUGGGCGAAAGCCUGAUCCAGCCAUGCCGCGUGUGUGAAGAAGGUCUUCGGAAUGUAAAGCACUUUAAGGUGGGAGGAAGGGAAUUAACCUAAUACGUUAGUGUUUUUACGUUCCCGACAGAAUAAGGACCGGAUAACUCUGUGCCAGCAGCCGCGGUAAUACAGAGGGUGCAAGCGUUAAUCGGAAUUACUGGGCGUAAAGCGCGCGUAGGUGGUUUGUUAAGUUGGAUGUGAAAUCCCCGGGCUCAACCUGGGAACUGCAUUCAAAACUGACUGACUAGAGUAUGGUAGAGGGUGGUGGAAUUUCCUGUGUAGCGGUGAAAUGCGUAGAUAUAGGAAGGAACACCAGUGGCGAAGGCGACCACCUGGACUAAUACUGACACUGAGGUGCGAAAGCGUGGGGAGCAAACA